CCCUGGAUGGCUCAGUGGGUUGAGCGUCUGACUUCAGCUCAGGUCAUGAUCUCCCGGUUCGUGAGUUCUAUCCCCACAUCAGGUU
rnacentral:tRNA from 1 species